rnacentral:rRNA from 1 species
UACGAAGGGGGCUAGCGUUGCUCGGAAUCACUGGGCGUAAAGCGCACGUAGGCGGAUCUUUAAGUCGGGGGUGAAAUCCUGGAGCUCAACUCCAGAACUGCCUUCGAUACUGAGGGUCUCGAGUCCGGGAGAGGUGAGUGGAACUCCGAGUGUAGAGGUGAAAUUCGUAGAUAUUCGGAAGAACACCAGUGGCGAAGGCGGCUCACUGGCCCGGUACUGACGCUGAGGUGCGAAAGCGUGGGGAGCAAACAGG